UACAGAGGUCUCAAGCGUUGUUCGGAUUCAUUGGGCGUAAAGGGUGCGUAGGUGGCGCUGUAAGUCGGGUGUGAAAUUUCGGAGCUUAACUCCGAAACUGCAUUCGAUACUGCGGUGCUUGAGGACUGGGAGGAGACUGGAAUUCAUGGUGUAGCAGUGAAAUGCGUAGAGAUCAUGAGGAAGACCAGUGGCGAAGGCGGGUCUCUGGACAGUUCCUGACACUGAGGCACGAAGGCCAGGGGAGCAAACGGG
rnacentral:rRNA from 1 species